GAAUAUAAUCAUCAUUUACGGUUAAAAACAUUAUGAAAAUUGAAGCUUUGUGUGUUCUUAUUGUAAUUUAUUUAUUUUAUAGCAGGUAAACUUUAUACUGUAAGCUUCAUUCCCAUUAUAACAGAGUUUUUAUAUGUGAGGUAAUCUUGCUGGGAGUGAAGGCAGUGCGUAUGACCACUUGAUAUGAGAGACACAUCCUGUUUUUAAAGGUGGAUCAUGAGUGAAGCUCUGCAGGUCGGCCAUUGACUUGAUAACAGUGGUUUAUUUUUAUUCAAUUUAUGAAUAAAUCUCUCGCCAACCAUUCACCUAUUUACUGACAAAACAGAUCCAAGUCUUGUUCAGCCUGAUGCUCAACCUUGUAUGAUGAUGACCACAGCCAGGUGAUGAGAUCUGUGUUAAUCACAGCCUGCGUCUUAAGAUCAACAUGACAAUAGCGGCCAUCUUUUAUCUUACUCUUAUCUGACUAAACAUUGGAUGGAGUAUGUACUGUACAAUGACCCAGCAAACAAAAUAAUAUGGACUUUUUUGGCGAGAUUCUAACAUUGACACAAUCCUAUUGACUUUAAUUUUUACAGUUAGUAAUGUAUUAUUAACAUCCUAUUCAUUUGUAUUCUAUGCCAUCUAUCUGUUUGUGCUAAAGUGUUUACAUCUGAAUGUAAUGUCAUAAUAUGUUAAUAUUCAGUAUUUAUUAUCAUUUGCAUGUUUUGAUGUUGCAUUUGUCAUGAUUUUAUUAAUUUCAUGUUAUUGUUGUCUAUUUAGAAUGAUUGUCUUUGCCAAUGAUUCUGAUUUUAAUGCACAUAUUUAUUAUUGUAUAUCUCAUGUAAUGAAAACGUGAAAAUAAAAGUAUUUUUCUGAUGUCUUGCGGUUCUGUUUUUAAACUGUUAAACCGUGUAAAGUGCUAUAAAUAAAAAACAAAAAUAUAAACGAAAAUAACCCUCCUGACUGCUAA